rnacentral:tRNA from 1 species
GUGAAUAUAGUUUUAUAAAAACCCUAGAUUGUGAUUCUGGAAAAGGGGGUUUAAACCCCCCUAUUCACC